rnacentral:misc_RNA from 1 species
GAUGAAGAACGCAGCGAAAUGCGAUAAGUAAUGUGAAUUGCAGAAUUCAGUGAAUCAUCGAAUCUUUGAACGCACAUUGCGCCCGCCAGUAUUCUGGCGGGCAUGCCUGUCCGAGCGUCAUUUCAACCAUCAAGCCCCGGGCUUGUGUUGGGGACCUGCGUCCGACGCAGGCCCUGAAAACCAGUGGCGGGCUCGCUGUCCACACCGAGCGUAGUAACUAACCUCGCUAUGGAGUGGCGCGGGCGCCUGCCGUAAAACCCCCAAUUGCACAAGGUUGACCUCGGAUCAGGUAGGAAUACCCGCUGAACUUAAGCAUAUCAAUAAGCGGAGGA